GAUGAACGCUAGCGGCAGGCCUAAUACAUGCAAGUCGAACGGGAUUGCGGUGUAGCUUGCUACACUGCAUGAGAGUGGCGCACGGGUGCGUAACGCGUGGGCAACCUGCCCAUAUCAGGGGGAUAGCCCGGAGAAAUCCGGAUUAACACCGCAUGUUACAGUAUUACCGCAUGGUAUAGCUGUUAAAUAUUUAUAGGAUAUGGAUGGGCUCGCGUGACAUUAGCUAGUUGGUGGGGUAACGGCCCACCAAGGCGACGAUGUCUAGGGGCUCUGAGAGGAGAAUCCCCCACACUGGUACCGAGACACGGACCAGACUCCUACGGGAGGCAGCAGUAAGGAAUAUUGGUCAAUGGGCGGAAGCCUGAACCAGCCAUGCCGCGUGCAGGACGACUGCCCUAUGGGUUGUAAACUGCUUUUGUACGGGAAUAACCCUCUCUACGAGUAGAGAGCUGAACGUACCGUAAGAAUAAGGAUCGGCUAACUCCGUGCCAGCAGCCGCGGUAA
rnacentral:rRNA from 1 species